rnacentral:rRNA from 1 species
AAUGAACGCUGGCGGUAUGCCUAACACAUGCAAGUCGAACGGUAGCACACUAAGAUCUUGCUCUUCCGGGUGGCGAGUGGCGGAUGGGUAAGGAGUGCAUAGGCAUCUACUUUUUCGUGGGGGAUAACGUAGGGCAACUUACGAUAAUACCGCAUACUACCUACGGGUGAAAGCAUGAGAUCUUCAUACCUUUCGCUAUGGAAUUAGCCGAUGGCGUAUUAUCUAGUUGGUGGGGUAAAGUCCUACCAAUACAAUGAUACGUAGCUGACCUGAGAGGGUGAUCGGCCACACUGGGACUGAGACACGGCCCAGACUCCUACGGGAGGCAGCAGUAGGGAAUCUUCCACAAUGGGCGAAAGCCUGAUGGAGCAAUGCCGCGUGAAUGAAGAAGGUCUUCGGAUCGUAAAGUUCUGUUAUUAGAGAAGAACAAGUCAAGGAGUAACUGUCUUGACUUUGACGGUACCUAACCAGAAAGUCACGGCUAACUACGUG